UCAAAAUGACUCGAUCCUUUGACGUCAGAAUGGAUGUUGUGUUAGCAGGAAUUAAAACAGCAUUCUUCUCUUUGUACAUCUUCAUCAGAGCUUUUGGGUGAUCCGCAACAAUAUUUUUCUCAGAGCAGUAUGUCUCAAUAGUGGGCUUGAAAUAUUCAGUAAACCAUGCUAUAAAUAGAUGGGCUGUCAUUCAGGUUUUGUUGUUCUUUUUAUAGAGCACAAGUGGAGUCCAUUUAGCAUAAUUCUUAUGGAAUUUUCAGAAUA